rnacentral:tRNA from 1 species
UCCUUGGUGGCCUAGUGGUUAGGACUCGGCACUGUCACUGCCGUGGCACUGGCUCAAACCCUGAUCGGGGAA